rnacentral:rRNA from 1 species
UACGGGAGGCAGCAGUGAGGAAUAUUGGUCAAUGGGCGCGAGCCUGAACCAGCCAAGUAGCGUGCAGGAUGACGGCCCUAUGGGUUGUAAACUGCUUUUAUGCGGGGAUAAAGUGCGGCACGCGUGCCGUUUUGUAGGUACCGCAUGAAUAAGGACCGGCUAAUUCCGUGCCAGCAGCCGCGGUAAU